rnacentral:rRNA from 1 species
CCCUUAGAUGUUCUGGGCCGCACGCGCGCUACACUGACGAAUGCAACGAGCUUAUAACCUUGGCCGAAAGGUCUGGGUAAUCUCCAAAUUUCGUCGUGAUGGGGAUAGAUUAUUGCAAUUAUUAAUCUUCAACGAGGAAUGCCUAGUAAGCGCAAGUCAUCAGCUUGCGUUGAUUACGUCCCUGCCCUUUGUACACACCGCCCGUCGCUCCUACCGAUUUAAUGGUCCGGUGAAGCGUUCGGACCGUGGCCUUUGGACGGUUCGCCGUCUGUUGGCUGCGGGAAGUUCGUUAAACCUUAUCAUUUAGAGGAAGGAGAANUCGUANCA